CAAUAGCGUAUAUUUAAGUUGUUGCAGUUAAAAAGCUCGUAGUUGGAUUUCGGGUGGGACGCAGCGGUCUCGCAUUGCGUUUGUACUGCUGCAGCCCUCCUUCUUGCCGGGGGCGGCCUCUCGGACUUCACUGUCUGGGGGUCAGAAUCGGCGAUGUUACUUUGAGUAAAUUAGAGUGUUCAAAGCAAGCUUACGCUCUGAAUAUAAUAGCAUGGGAUAACACGACAGGACUCUGGCCUAUCGUGUUGGUCUAUAGGACCAGAGUAAUGAUUAAGAGGGACAGUCGGGGGCAUUCGUAUUCCGUUUUCAGAGGUGAAAUUCUUGGAUUUACGGAAGACGAACAUCUGCGAAAGCAUUUGCCAAGGAUGUUUUCAUUGA
rnacentral:rRNA from 1 species